rnacentral:ncRNA from 1 species
UUUUGCUAGGAUGCUGGCGUAAUGGUUAUCAGCGGCCCGUCUUGAAACACGGACCAAGGAGUCGUCUUCGUAUGCGAGGGUUCGGGUGUCAAACCCCUACGCGGAAUGAAAGUGAACGCAGGUGAGAGCCCUCUGGGCGCAUCAUCGACCGAUCCUGUUCUAGGAUGCUGGCGUAAUGGUUAUCAGCGGCCCGUCUUGAAACACGGACCAAGGAGUCGUCUUCGUAUGCGAGUGUUCGGGGGUCAAACCCCUACGCGGAAUGAAAGUGAACGCAGGUGAGAGCCCUCUGGGCGCAUCAUCGACCGAUCCUGAUGUUCUCGACUUCGGAAGGGAUGUAUUUAUUAGAUUAAAAACCAAUGCCCUCUGGGCUCUCUUGGUGAAUCAUGAUAACUUCUCGAAUCGCAGGGCCUUGCGCCGGCGAUGGUUCAUUCAAAUUUCUUCCCUAUCAACUUUCGAUGUUUGGGUAGUGGCCAAACAUGGUUGCAACGGGUAACGGAGGGUCUAAUCGAACCUUCUAGUAGCUGGUUUCCGCCGAAGUUUCCCUCAGGAUAGCAGUGUUGAUCUCAGUUUUAUGAGGUAAAGCGAAUGAUUAGGGCCCCGGGGGCGCUAUAUAGCCUUCAUCCAUUCUCAAACUUUAAAUAUGUAAGAAGCCCUUGUUACUUGACUGAACGUGGCCCUAAAGCUGGUCGCUACUAAGCGGGCGUCGAAAGACAGCCCGUGGCCGAUCCGGGGAGGUAGUGACAAUAAAUACUGAUACAGGGCUCUUUUGGGUCUUGUAAUUGGAAUGAGUACAAUUUAAAUCCCUUAACGAGGAACAAUUGGAGGGCAAGUCUGGUGCCAGCAGCCGCGGUAAUUCCAGCUCCAAUAGCGUAUAUUAAAGUUGUUGUGGUUAAAAAGCUCGUAGUUGAACCUUGGGCCUGGCUGGCCGGUCCGCCUUACUAGCCCUGAAAAUGGAUGGCGCUCAAGCGUCUCACCCAUACCUCGCCCUCAGGGUAGAAACGAAGCCCUGAGGAGGAGGCGGACGUGGGGGUCAGUGACGAAGCCUAGGGCGUGAGCCCGGGUCGAACGGCCUCUAGUGCAGAUCUUGG